CGGGCCGUUCGGGGCCAGGAGGAAUUUGUUAUGAAACGUAGUGGAGUGAAAUCGUGGCCAUUACUGCGAUCUGCCACGUGGAGUCUGUUGCGGGGAGUGAAGCGGCGUCCGUUGUCGCGAUUUGCCAGAGGGUGGAGAAGCCGUGCGGUAUCCGUCACAGGAAGUGGAGCAGAGUAGUGGCCAUUAUCGUGGCCUGCCAGGGAGUAAUGGAGCUGCGUGGGAUCCGUCUCAGAAAGUGGAG
rnacentral:lncRNA from 1 species